rnacentral:rRNA from 1 species
AGAGUUUGAUCCUGGCUCAGAAUCAACGCUGGCGGCGUGCCUAACACAUGCAAGUCGCACGAGAAAGGGACUUCGGUCUUGAGUAAAGUGGCGCACGGGUGAGUAACACGUGACUAAUCUACCCUCGAGUGGGGAAUAACUGAGAGAAAUCUUAGCUAAUACCGCAUAACACUUACGAGUCAAAGCAGCAAUGCGCUUGGGGAGGAGGUCGCGGCCGAUUAGCUAGUUGGCGGGGUAAUGGCCCACCAAGGCGAUGAUCGGUAUCCGGCCUGAGAGGGCGCACGGACACACUGGAACUGAAACACGGUCCAGACUCCUACGGGAGGCAGCAGUGGGGAAUUUUGCGCAAUGGGGGAAACCCUGACGCAGCAACGCCGCGUGGAGGAUGAAGUAUCUUGGUACGUAAACUCCUUUCGAUGGGGAAGAUAAUGACGGUACCCAUAGAAGAAGCCCCGGCUAACUUCGUGCCAGCAGCCGCGGUAAUACGAGGGGGGCAAGCGUUGUUCGGAAUUAUUGGGCGUAAAGGGUGCGUAGGCGGUUUGGCAAGUCUUAUGUGAAAUCUAUGGGCUCAACCCAUAGUCUGCAUGAGAAACUGCCGGGCUUGAGUAUUGGAGAGGUGAGUGGAAUUUCCGGUGUAGCGGUGAAAUGCGUAGAUAUCGGAAGGAACACCUGUGGCGAAAGCGGCUCACUGGACAAUAACUGACGCUGAGGCACGAAAGCUAGGGGAGCAAACAGGAUUAGAUACCCUGGUAGUCC